rnacentral:rRNA from 1 species
CCUACGGGUGGCUGCAGUAGGGAAUUUUCGGCAAUGGGGGGAACCCUGACCGAGCAACGCCGCGUGAACGAAGAAGUUAUUCGUAAUGUAAAGCUCUUUUAACAGGGAAGAAAGAGAAAUUUGACGGUACCUGAAGAAUAAGCUCCGGCUAACUACGUGCCAGCAGCCGCGGUAAUACGUAGGGAGCGAGCGUUAUCCGGAAUUAUUGGGUUUAAAGGGUGCGUAGGCGGGCAUUUAAGCCGGCGGUCAAAUGUCGGGGCUCAACCCCGGCCUGCCGUCGGAACUGGGUGCCUUGAGUGGGCGAGAGGUAUGCGGAAUGCGUGGUGUAGCGGUGAAAUGCAUAGAUAUCACGCAGAACCCCGAUUGCGAAGGCAGCAUACCGGCGCCCUACUGACGCUGAGGCACGAAAGUGCGGGUAUCGAACAGGAUUAGAUACCCGAGUAGUC